UUUCUGGUAAGCAAUUAUAUCUACAUAAAUUAGCUUCUGCUCCUGUAUCUAUCAUAGGCGUAUAAUAUCUACUGUAAUAUCCUUCUACUACUAUCUUUACUACUACAUAUAUUUUCAUUUUAUGUUAAGGCUCUUCUUAAGAAUAAUUUCUCUCUUUUAUAUGUUAAGGUUAAUUGUGUAUGUUCUAUAUUAUAUGGUUUUACUUGUUCUAGCCAUUUUAUUCCUAAUAUUAUAUCUGCUUUUUGCAUUUCUUCCUUUACUUCAAAUUCUAUUUUUAUUUUUCUAAUUCCUAUUAUUAUUUCUUUUUGUACUAUAUUUUUACUAUUUAUUAAAAUUCUUGGUAGAUCUGGGCAUA
rnacentral:lncRNA from 1 species